AAUCGGGGCAGGGUGAGUCGACCCCUAAGGCGAGGCCGAAAGGCGUAGUCGAUGGGAAACGGGUUAAUAUUCCCGUACUUGGUGUUACUGCGAAGGGGGGACGGAGAAGGCUAUGUUGGCCGGGCGACGGUUGUCCCGGUUUAAGCGUGUAGGCUGGUUUUCCAGGCAAAUCCGGAAAAUCAAGGCUGAGGCGUGACGACGAGGCACUACGGUGCUGAAGCAACAAAUGCCCUGCUUCCAGGAAAAGCCUCUAAGCAUCAGGUAACAUCAAAUCGUACCCCAAACCGACACAGGUGGUCAGGUAGAGAAUACCAAGGCGCUUGAGAGAACUCGGGUGAAGGAACUAGGCAAAAUGGUGCCGUAACUUCGGGAGAAGGCACGCUGACACGUAGGUGAAGUGAUUUACUCAUGGAGCUGAAGUCAGUCGAAGAUACCAGCUGGCUGCAACUGUUUAUUAAAAACACAGCACUGUGCAAACACGAAAGUGGACGUAUACGGUGUGACGCCUGCCCGGUGCCGGAAGGUUAAUUGAUGGGGUCAGCGCAAGCGAAGCUCCUGAUCGAAGCCCCGGUAAACGGCGGCCGUAACUAUAACGGUCCUAAGGUAGCGAAAUUCCUUGUCGGGUAAGUUCCGACCUGCACGAAUGGCGUAAUGAUGGCCAGGCUGUCUCCACCCGAGACUCAGUGAAAUUGAACUCGCUGUGAAGAUGCAGUGUACCCGCGGCAAGACGGAAAGACCCCGUGAACCUUUACUAUAGCUUGACACUGAACAUUGAGCCUUGAUGUGUAGGAUAGGUGGGAGGCUUUGAAGUGUGGACGCCAGUCUGCAUGGAGCCAACCUUGAAAUACCACCCUUUAAUGUUUGAUGUUCUAACGUGGACCCGUAAUCCGGGUUGCGGACAGUGUCUGGUGGGUAGUUUGACUGGGGCGGUCUCCUCCUAAAGAGUAACGGAGGAGCACGAAGGUUGGCUAAUCCUGGUCGGACAUCAGGAGGUUAGUGCAAUGGCAUAAGCCAGCUUGACUGCGAGCGUGACGGCGCGAGCAGGUGCGAAAGCAGGUCAUAGUGAUCCGGUGGUUCUGAAUGGAAGGGCCAUCGCUCAACGGAUAAAAGGUACUCCGGGGAUAACAGGCUGAUACCGCCCAAGAGUUCAUAUCGACGGCGGUGUUUGGCACCUCGAUGUCGGCUCAUCACAUCCUGGGGCUGAAGUAGGUCCCAAGGGUAUGGCUGUUCGCCAUUUAAAGUGGUACGCGAGCUGGGUUUAGAACGUCGUGAGACAGUUCGGUCCCUAUCUGCCGUGGGCGCUGGAGAACUGAGGGGGGCUGCUCCUAGUACGAGAGGACCGGAGUGGACGCAUCACUGGUGUUCGGGUUGUCAUGCCAAUGGCACUGCCCGGUAGCUAAAUGCGGAAGAGAUAAGUGCUGAAAGCAUCUAAGCACGAAACUUGCCCCGAGAUGAGUUCUCCCUGAGACUUAAAGUCUCCUGAAGGAACGUUGAAGACGACGACGUUGAUAGGCCGGGUGUGUAAGCGCAGCGAUGCGUUGAGCUAACCGGUACUAAUGAACCGUGAGG
rnacentral:rRNA from 1 species